CCCUUAGAUGUUCUGGGCCGCACGCGCGCUACACUGACGGAGCCAACGAGUCUUUUCCUUGUCCGGAAGGACUGGGUAAUCUUGUGAAACUUCGUCGUGCUGGGGAUAGAGCAUUGCAAUUAUUGCUCUUCAACGAGGAAUGCCUAGUAAGCGCAAGUCAUCAACUUGCGUUGAUUACGUCCCUGCCCUUUGUACACACCGCCCGUCGCUACUACCGAUUGAAUGGUUUAGUGAGGCCUUCGGAUCCGCGACUCGUUUGUGGAGAAGUUGGACAAACUCAGUCAUUUAGAGGAAGUAAAAGUCGUAACA
rnacentral:rRNA from 1 species